rnacentral:rRNA from 1 species
UUAAUGGAGAGUUUGAUCCUGGCUCAGGACGAACGCUGGCGGCGUGCCUAAUACAUGCAAGUCGAGCGGGGUUGUGUAGAAGCUUGCUUCUAAUCAACCUAGCGGCGGACGGGUGAGUAACACGUAGGCAACCUGCCCACAAGACAGGGAUAACUACCGGAAACGGUAGCUAAUACCCGAUAUAUCCUUUUCCUGCAUGGGAGAAGGAGGAAAGACGGAGCAAUCUGUCACUUGUGGAUGGGCCUGCGGCGCAUUAGCUAGUUGGUGGGGUAAAGGCCUACCAAGGCGACGAUGCGUAGCCGACCUGAGA